AGAGUUUGAUCAUGGCUCAGAUUGAACGCUGGCGGCAGGCCUAACACAUGCAAGUCGAGCGGAAACGAUCCUAGCUUGCUAGGAGGCGUCGAGCGGCGGACGGGUGAGUAACACGUGAGAAUCUGCCCAUUAGAGGGGGAUAACCUGGGGAAACCCAGGCUAAUACCGCAUAAUCCCUACGGGGGAAAGCAGGGGAUCUUCGGACCUUGUGCUGAUGGAUGAGUUCGCGUCGGAUUAGCUUGUUGGUGAGGUAAUGGCUCACCAAGGCGACGAUCCGUAGCUGGUCUUAGAGGAUGAUCAGCCACACCGGGACUGAGACACGGCCCGGACUCCUACGGGAGGCAGCAGUGGGGAAUCUUGGACAAUGGGGGCAACCCUGAUCCAGCCAUGCCGCGUGUGUGAAGAAGGCCUUCGGGUUGUAAAGCACUUUCAGUAGGGAGGAAGGCUUAUCCUUAAUACGGAUGAGUACUUGACGUUACCUACAGAAGAAGCACCGGCUAAUUUCGUGCCAGCAGCCGCGGUAAUACGAAAGGUGCGAGCGUUAAUCGGAAUUACUGGGCGUAAAGCGCGCGUAGGCGGUUUGCUAAGUCAGAUGUGAAAGCCCCGGGCUCAACCUGGGAACUGCAUUCGAAACUGGCAGGCUAGAAUGCAGUAGAGGGAGGUGGAAUUUCCGGUGUAGCGGUGAAAUGCGUAGAGAUCGGAAGGAACACCAGUGGCGAAGGCGGCCUCCUGGACUGACAUUGACGCUGAGGUGCGAAAGCGU
rnacentral:rRNA from 1 species